rnacentral:rRNA from 1 species
CCUACGGGAGGCAGCAGUAGGGAACUUUCCACAAUGGGCGAAAGCCUGAUGGAGCAACGCCGCGUGCAGGAUGAAUGCCUUCGGGUUGUAAACUGCUUUUAUAUGUGAAGAAUAUGACGGUAGCAUAUGAAUAAGGAUCGGCUAACUCCGUGCCAGCAGCCGCGGUAAU